GCCCUAUUUCCUAAAUGGUGAUUAGAUUUCAAGAUAUGAAUUUUGGGGGUAUACAAGCAUUCAGAUCAUAACAGGGGAAUCAGCCUCUGGAGUCUUGUUAUAUCUCUCUAGCCACAGUGCUCAGAGGGCCUUUCUCAUCCUUCCUGGGAUCUGGGAUCCCGUGUCAGCUGGGAUUAUAGUUUAUUCUCUGAGCUCUUCUCUCUGCCUCUGUUAACCACAUAGGCUCCAGUCCCUAGCCCUGACCAUGGAACAUUAAACACCUCUGCUCUUUCCACUCCCCAUCGUGAAAAGCAGUUAGACGCAGGUGUACACCUUUCCCUUUUCACAGGCCUCUACCCUGACCUCUAAAUCUCAAGCCACCACCUCUCUGGAUCCGUUUUUCUUUCAGCUUCUGUGAUCCUGUCUAAAGCUAAGACUGUUUCCUGGGCAACAGCUCUCCCAAUUUGUAACACCCUGAGUUGCUCUGCUGGCCAACCAGAUGUCCCGCUGUUUCUGUACCAACAUGAUGAGACAAGGCCUUUCAGAAAUGGCUUCUGCUAUGUGGCAGGUGAACCGAUUCCUUUGUAUCUAUUCACUGAUGGACUUCAUCACUCUGGGACCCUGAAAUCCACAGCCACAACCGUGUCUAACAUCUGUGGGGACCUCCACAAGUCCUGCUGUCAAACCACGCAGACCACCAUGACCAGCCUUCGCUUACCUCUCUAUCUUCCCACAAAAUUACAGAGAGCAGAGGUCUGUCGCUAGAAACAACCUGGGAGCCCACGGUAGGGAGAUUGGCUCUAAGAAGUUGGCAAAGAUGGGAAAACAAUAAGAAGUAUUUAUAAAGAGGAGCGUGAUCUGGGGCAACCAAUCUAGAAGCAUAUGGUGCUAACA